rnacentral:rRNA from 1 species
UACGUAGGUGACAAGCGUUGUCCGGAUUUACUGGGCGUAAAGAGCGCGCAGGCGGUCGAUCAAGUCGCGUGUGAAAGCCCCCGGCUCAACUGGGGAGGGUCAUUCGAUACUGAUCGACUCGAAGGCAGGAGAGGGUAGUGGAAUUCCCGGUGUAGUGGUGAAAUGCGUAGAUAUCAGGAGGAACACCGGUGGCGAAGGCGGGACUCUGGGCUGAUACUGACGCUGAGGAGCGAAAGCGUGGGGAGCAAACAGG